UUGCUUUGGCAGCACAUAUACUAAAAUUGGAACAAUACAGAGAAGAUAGGCAUGGCCCCUGCACAAGAAAUGAUAUACAAAUUCAUGAAGCAUUCCAUAUUUUU